rnacentral:rRNA from 1 species
AAGUCUGAAGAGGAGUCAAAUGCUUCUUUUCUUAAGGACAAGCUGUGAUGGGGAGGGAAAUAAUAGUACCGAAGUUCCUGAUGUCACACUGCCGAGAAAAGCUUCUAGUGAGAAAACAGCGGCCCGUACCGCAAACCGACACAGGUAGUCGAGGAGAGAAUCCUAAGGUGAGCGAGAGAACUCUCGUUAAGGAACUCGGCAAAAUGACCCCGUAACUUCGGGAGAAGGGGUGCUGAUCAUACGAUCAGCCGCAGUGAAUAGGCCCAAGCGACUGUUUAUCAAAAACACAGGUCUCUGCAAAAUCGUAAGAUGAAGUAUAGGGGCUGACGCCUGCCCGGUGCUGGAAGGUUAAGAGGAGUGCUUAGCGCAAGCGAAGGUACGAAUUGAAGCCCCAGUAAACGGCGGCCGUAACUAUAACGGUCCUAAGGUAGCGAAAUUCCUUGUCGGGUAAGUUCCGACCCGCACGAAAGGCGUAACGAUUUGGGCACUGUCUCAACGAGAGACUCGGUGAAAUUUUAGUACCUGUGAAGAUGCAGGUUACCCGCGACAGGACGGAAAGACCCCAUGGAGCUUUACUGUAGUUUGAUAUUGAGUGUCUGUACCGCAUGUACAGGAUAGGUAGGAGCCGUAGAAAUCGGAACGCUAGUUUCGAUGGAGGCGC